CCUACGGGAGGCAGCAGUCGAGAAUCAUUCACAAUGGGGGAAACCCUGAUGGUGCGACGCCGCGUGGGGGAAUGAAGGUCUUCGGAUUGUAAACCCCUGUCAUGUGGGAGCAAAUUAAAAAGAUAGUACCACAAGAGGAAGAGACGGCUAACUCUGUGCCAGCAGCCGCGGUAAUACAGAGGUCUCAAGCGUUGUUCGGAAUCACUGGGCGUAAAGCGUGCGUAGGCUGUUUCGUAAGUCGUGUGUGAAAGGCGCGGGCUCAACCCGCGGACGGCACAUGAUACUGCGAGACUAGAGUAAGGGAGGGGGAACCGGAAUGCUCGGUGUAGCAGUGAAAUGCGUAGAUAUCGAGAGGAACACUCGUGGCGAAGGCGGGUUCCUGGACAUUAACUGACGCUGAGGCACGAAGGCCAGGGGAGCGAAAGGGAUUAGAUACCCGUGUAGUC
rnacentral:rRNA from 1 species